CACAAAGCGAUAAUCCAAACUCAUGCAACAUCAAAUUCAUUCCAUGAUUAAUUAUUCAUGGAUAAGCAAUAUCAAAUAUCAACAAGAUCAUCCAUUCACAAACCAACAACACACAAUCAUACAUCAAUGCACCAAAUCGAAACAAAACGAAAAGAAGUCAAAGAAUUGGACCUCAAAUAUCGAUUUCAAUAUAUUGGAGAUAGCACUGCUCCCGGAAAAUCUCAAUUCGAACCUCAACCAACAAAUUGAACUCUGUAUCGAGAAAUAGCAAGCGGACAGAUCCAAUUCUCGUAGACCCGACUCUAUCUCAUCCGUUUCCGGCGAAGGUCACCGGAAUCAGACCGCAAACAAUCAAUUUCAGUCGAUUUGGGAACGAUUUCACUAAUUCCGUCCGGUUUACUGAGUUUUCCGAUGGGAAACCAGUCAUCAAAAAAAUCGAGCCAUGGGAAUUUCUCAACUCUCAGUCGUCCUCUCUCUAUCUCUAACUUCUCUCACCCAAUCUCUCUCUCGCAUCUCUGUUUUUCU